CCUUAUUCAACUAAUUGAAGUAAUUGGGUAAGUGUAUUUUGGAAGACUGCAAAACAAAAGUACAUAUUUUAAAGAAGAAUGCUCCACACAGGAAGUACACGGGAAAAGAAGCAAAUCCAACACGAAAAAGACACAUGCAAAUACAAGUGAAUUGGCUUAGAGAAAGAAUUGUUACCAAGGUCCACUGUUGGAAAUACAUCUGAAAGAGAUAACCUUGGAAGCUGGUCACCUGAACACAGUGAGAAAAAGGGUGUGAGAAAGGAAGGACCUGAUCAUCCAUCAGAUGGAAUCCAGACGUGACAAUUAGAGUUAAUGAACCAUGACCCAAGAAGCAGUUUCUGCACUUUACAAUCCUACUUCAUGGCCUCAGUAAAACUUACAGGGCUUUUUUUUUUCCCACAGAACACAUCUGCUCCAAAUUCUAAAGGGAGAAACUGGUUUCAGAAGUUACAUUUGGUUUCCUCCCUACUUUUCAGUCAUGUAUGAGGUAAAUGUAAGAACUUUGUUAACUAAAAAUCAGAAGAUACAGCUUCUACGAUGAGACUACAUAGUAUUAUUAUAGUAGCUAUUUAAUUUAUAUUAAAAUUAAUGAACUGAUAAAGAUGACUGGAAAACACCAAGCAAAUAUUUUCAAAACAACCAGCAUAAUGGCUUCUAUGUUUAAAUACUGGUUUUGGCCUCAGAUAGCUAAGAGAAUGCCUCAAAGGGGGAAAAAAAAAAAAGUUGAUUAAUACCUAAGUCUCCUAUCAUUUCUUCACAGAGCAGGUAUAGCUAAUGAAGCAGUGCCUCUUUUUCCCCAAAGUCCAGAAGAUCUACUGAACUUCUAAUCCUGAGGUGGAAUUGAUCUUUCUUUCCCUACGAGCAAAGUAUUCCUGCAGUCAGAGCCUCUCAAUAGUUUCUCAGAAUCACAAAAAUUCAUCCAUUUGGUCUUUUGCUACUAUUUGGAAUGAAGGAUUGAAAUAGGGCCAAACAACUCUUGGUGGUUUUCUUCCCAUACCAGACGCACCUUUUCUUGGCCUCCUCCAAAGAUGUGUUACCAAAACCAUAACAAUUCACUAUGAAAUCUGCUACCUAAAUUACAAUUGCUUUUUGGUUACAGUAGUGAAUUCUAAAAAAGCUUUUCCAGCAGCCCUGGUCAGAAAUCCACAAAGGAUACCUAGUGCAGAGCAGGAAGAUCUCAAGAGUUUGGAGAUAUUGUUUCACAGUCAGCUUACACUCCAGUUCCCUCUUCUCACUGAGUUAGGAAGUGAUUGGUUGCAUCCUGCUUCUGGAGAAGACAAAGGUAUUUCAGCCAUUGGUACUCCAAACUCAAAGAAGACCAUUAUUAAGAAAUGAAAGUCCAACUUGGUCUUGUACAUGGAAAUGUCUGCAGUACUUCCAAGACUUCUUCAAGAGUCAAUGGGUCUCAUAGGAAUGGCUCACAGAGCUUUUUUUCUUACUGACACUGUCCUCAUACAUUCCAAUUUUUACAGUUAGUAUGGCGUUCUCUUCAGUGAAACUUGAGCGCACACACUCAUGCUGUGUCAUGAGAAUUUUCUAGUCCUAUCACUGAAUUCCUUUCUUAUAGCUUAUAGUAAAAUCAUUUCCAAAGGAGGAGAGGAGAAGAGAACAUUGCUGUUUUCUGUUCUAAUAUGAGCAUGUGAAUAAAUUAAAUGAUAUUUAUAUCUUUAUAGAAGGAGCUUCACAAUUUUAAAAAAUAAAAAAAGAUGAUCAGAAGAAAUGGAAGGAAAAGGUGUGGUAAGAGUAAAAUAUCUGAUAAGAAAUUAUUUGACUGAAAAUGAAUAGUAGAGGAAUAUUACAAAAUCUAUCCAUAUCACAGUUAAUCGAUUAAAUAAUAAAACACAUCACUUUAUUCUAGCAAGUUUUUUCAAUGCAAAAAAAAAAAAAGCCUAUGGCUUGGUAAUAAAAGUAACUGUAAACUGUCUUGCCCAUCAUACAUACUAUUGUUAAGUAUAGUUUUAUUCCUUCACUAUAUUAACUUCCCAAGAGCUCAUUAAAUGUUACUGAUAUUGAAAGCACGGUCAAUCAGGUGAAAUAAAAUAAAAUGGAAAAAAAUUAAAAAUAUCAGUAGAUCAAGUGUUUGUUGUAAAUAUCUUCUGCCUUGCUUAAACAUUGAACUAAUUUUUAAGUAUGCAUGCAGAGAAGUUGUAUAAUGCAUAACCUGAUAAAUAAAAC
rnacentral:lncRNA from 1 species